AGCGAACGCUGGCGGCAGGCCUAACACAUGCAAGUCGAACGAACCUUUCGGGGUUAGUGGCGGACGGGAGCGUAACACGUGGGAACGUGCCUUUAGGUUCGGAAUAACUCAGGGAAACUUGUGCUAAUACCGAAUGUGCCCUUCGGGGGAAAGAUUCAUCGCCUUUAGAGCGGCCCGCGUCUGAUUAGCUAGUUGGUUGAGGUAAUGGCCCACCAAGGCGACGAUCAGUAGCUGGUCUGAGAGGAUGGUCAGCCACAUUGGGACUGAGACACGGCCCAAACUCCUACGGGAGGCAGCAGUGGGGAAUCUUGCGCAACGGGCGAAAGCCUGACGCAGCCAUGCCGCGUGAAUGAUGAAGGUCUUAGGAUUGUAAAAGUCUUUCACCGGGGACGAUAAUGACGGUACCCGGAGAAGAAGCCCCGGCUAACUACGUG
rnacentral:rRNA from 1 species